AGAACAUCUCAGGGCUCACAGUGUGGCAGCCUGGCACUGUUGUCUUAUUUGAUCCUCAAGAGGAACCUGUGAGCCCACUUUGGAUAUGAAGGGAGCUAUCCCAAGAGAAAUGGAAAGCGAGGAGCUAUGGGGAGAAGAGGGGUCUGCAGCCUCCAGGUUCCCUGCUGUUGGUGAUGACAGGUGCCAUCACAUAGUAAAUUGUCUUGUGUGUGAGAUCACACGCAGCAGAGCUCUGAUAGUGCCUUUCCUCAUUUGGAACUGUGAGUGUGCUGGGUGUCACUAGAUGUCACACCUUGUCACACAGAGAAUGGGGUUUCCUAUCUUGGCAGGAUAUGGCUAUUGUGUUAGAGUCAGAUUUGCUGUCACAGGCUGAGGAAAUGCCACACAGCAGCUCAUCUCACUGAACUUGGAAUGUUGCCAACAGGCAAACAAUGGGCAAGAUGAAUCCUGAUCUCCCCCCAGUGUGUCCCCACCUCUAUGGCGCAGAGUGAUGAAGCCCCAUGCCCCACUCUGUCCCUAUAUGUGGGACAUGCUGUUUGGGGUCACUGUCUACAUGUUUCUGUCUCUCUUCAUAUCUGGUCUGUUCUUUUCUUUCUUUUUAUUUUUCGCACCUUAACACUGGGUUCAGCCUGGCUCUCUGCAAAGUUCUCAGCACCUUUUGUUGAUAGACCCCUGUAGAAUGUCUCAUCUCUCAUGAGGCAUGUCUUUGGCAUUGGUGCCACUGUCCACACUUCCAUAUGGAACUUCUCUGCUUGUUCAGAAGAGCCACAUGCUCACCUGGGUGUGGUAGUGCAUAGCUGUGAUACCAACCACUUGGGAAGCUGAGUCAGAAGGACCACAAGUUCAAAGACAGUGAACUUAGUGAAGCCCUAAACAACUUAGUGAGACCCUGUCUCAAAAAAUAAAAUGGCUAGGGAUAUAAUUCAGUGGUAAAACACCUCUGGAUUCAACCCCCAGUACCAAAAAGGAAAAAAAGAAUAGCCAUGUGCUCAUUCAGUUUCCACAUCUGCAAAAUGGAAAAUAACCUUCUUUAAUUAGGUGAUCCUAAGGACAUCUCCUCCAACUCUGAGCUUUUUAUUAUCGUAUGUGCAUUUUGUAUUUUUUAUGUAUCAACAUGAAAACAUGUUAUAUAUAGCCAUUCUUCAGUUUCCCUUAGGAAUUCCUUUCAGAAUACCCCAGGAUAUCAAACUGUGCAGAUGCUUAAGUCCCUUAUUAUCAAAUGGCAGUGUUUGCAUAUGACCUAUUCUUG
rnacentral:lncRNA from 1 species